ACCUACGGGGGGCAGCAGUGAGGGAUAUUGGUCAAUGGGGGAAACCCUGAACCAGCAACGCCGCAUGAGGGAAGACGGUUUUCGGAUUGUAAACCUCUGUCCUCUGUGAAGAUAAUGACGGUAGCAGAGGAGGAAGCUCCGGCUAACUACGUGCCAGCAGCCGCGGUAAUACGUAGGGAGCGAGCGUUAUCCGGAUUUAUUGGGUUUAAAGGGUGCGCAGGCGGAAGAUCAAGUCAGCGGUAAAAUUGAGAGGCUCAACCUCUUCGAGCCGUUGAAACUGGUUUUCU
rnacentral:rRNA from 1 species